GCGGCGGUAGUUCAGUGGUAGAAUACUUCCUUGCCAAGGAAGGGGUCGCCAGUUCAAAUCUGGUCCGCCGCU
rnacentral:tRNA from 1 species